ACUACGGGAGGCAGCAGUGAGGAAUAUUGGUAAAUGGGCGAGAGCCUGAACCAGCCAAGUCGCGUGAGGGAGUACUGCCCUAUGGGUUGUAAACCUCUUUGGUCGGGGAGCAAAAGCCGGACGUGUCCGGCUGUGAGAGUACACGAAGAAAAAGCAUCGGCUAACUCCGUGCCAGCAGCCGCGGUAAUACGGAGGAUGCGAGCGUUAUUCGGAUUUAUUGGGUUUAAAGGGUGCGCAGGCGGAUUUUUAAGUCAGCGGUCAAAUCGGUGGGGUCAAACCCAUCCAGCCGUUGAAACUGGGUAUCUUGAGUGUGCGAGCGGUAUGCGGAAUGCGUGGUGUCGCUGUGAAAUGCAUAGAUAUCACGCAGAACCCCGAUUGCGAAGGCAGCAUACCGGUGCACAACUGACGCUCAGGCACGAAAGCGUGGGUAUCGAACAGGAUUAGAUACCCUGGUAGUC
rnacentral:rRNA from 1 species